GACGAACGCUGGCGGCGUGCUUAACACAUGCAAGUCGAACGGAAAGGCCCUGCUUUUGUGGGGUGCUCGAGUGGCGAACGGGUGAGUAACACGUGAGUAACCUGCCCUUGACUUUGGGAUAACUUCAGGAAACUGGGGCUAAUACCGGAUAGGAGCUCCUGCUGCAUGGUGGGGGUUGGAAAGUUUCGGCGGUUGGGGAUGGACUCGCGGCUUAUCAGCUUGUUGGUGGGGUAGUGGCUUACCAAGGCUUUGACGGGUAGCCGGCCUGAUCGGGUGACCGGCCACAUUGGGACUGGGAUGCGGACCAGACUCCUACGGGAGGCAGCAGUGGAGAAUAUUGCACGAUGGGCGGAAGCCUGAUGCAGCAACGCCGCGUGCGGGAUGACGGCCUUCGGGUUGUAAACCGCUUUCGCCUGUGACGAAGCGUGAGUGACGGUAAUGGGUAAAGAAGCACCGGCUAACUACGUG
rnacentral:rRNA from 1 species